GAUGAACGCUAGCGGCAGGCCUAACGCAUGCAAGUCGAGGGGGAAGUUACUUUCGGGUGACUGAGACCGGCGUACGGGUGCGUAACGCGUAUACAAUCUGCCUUUCACUGGGGGGUAGCCCGAAGAAAUUUGGAUUAAUACCCCAUAGUAUAUAGGGACGGCAUAGUUUUUAUAUUAAAGCUUAGGUGGUGAAAGAUGAGUAUGCGUUCUAUUAGCUAGUUGGAGAGGUAACGGCUCCCCAAGGCGAUGAUAGAUAGGGGUUCUGAGAGGGAUGUCCCCACACUGGUACUGAGAUACGGACCAGACUCCUACGGGAGGCAGCAGUGAGGAAUAUUGGACAAUGGUCGGAAGACUGAUCCAGCCAUGCCGCGUGCAGGAUGAAGGUCUUAUGGAUUGUAAACUGCUUUUGUAAGGGAAGAAUAAGGGCUACGCGUAGUUUGAUGACGGUACCUUACGAAUAAGCAUCGGCUAACUCCGUG
rnacentral:rRNA from 1 species